ensembl:lncRNA
AUGUGUUACCAGAUAUCUGGGCCAUCCUUUAGCUCAGUCAAGUUAAAUGUAAAAUUAACCAUCACAGUCUUGAAUGGAUGUUUCUCUAAAGAAGACAUACCAAUGAUGAGAAGAUGCUCAACAUCUCUAGUCAUUAAGGAAAUGCAAAUCAAAACCGCCAUAAGCUACCAUUUCACAAUCAUCAGGAUGGAUGGCUAUUACGUAAAAAAAGGAAGUUAACAAGAGACACAUCAGGCUGAAAACUCUAUUCCCAUAUACACCUCACAUUGCAGUCGGCAUCUUGGAAGUAUUCUUCUCUUUCCCACUCAGCCUUCAACCCGUGUUAUGUUCCACUCACUCCUGGCAAACAACACGGCAGUAAGGAAAGAGGUAAGCAAAGGCUGAGUUGUCACCUGGCACACUUAGUAACUGGAAAAAACAGGCCCUGAACUGAUCCGCGCAUUCUAUAAAUUCUUUCCAACAGCAAACUGCAUCUGACACUAGCCCAAAACAAAGAGAGUGGGAGCUGAAGAUCUCCCUCCAGCUCUGCAGCCGUUGCUAGACGAACCACUGCUAAGCAGUGCAAACUGAAAUGGGUGCGAAGAACAUCAACCUCACUUUCAGCUUUAAUUUAAAAGAGGGAAGCUGCAGGCGACCAAGAAGAUAGUGAGGAAAACAAAAUACGUGUUAUCUUAUGAAAAAUUACUGUAUCAUAAGGAAAAAGAGAGUGCAGUCCGAAGGCUCAGAGGAAGAUCAUUUUUCUCAAGAAAAAUAAAAAAUCCUAGAAGCCCUCCAAAAGGCAAAAGAGGAUGUGGUUUCUAUGAACUAAAAACCAGAAACCCAAAGGAAAAGCAGGCUAAAUAAGAGAGGAGACUGGAAGAGACCUGGUUAAAAUAAAAAAUGGAUGUAAGAAAAUUAAAAAUGCAAUAGCAGAGUUUUACUUAUUGUUGGGAUGAAGAUGGUUGUAUCACUACUGCUGUAACUAGAGAAAAGUACCAGCUACAUGAAAAAAGCUACAGACGAGCCAUGGAUGCAAAAAAGUACAAAUAAAUUGCAGAGGGAAAGGGGCGUUCCUGGAUGAGCGGGGCUGGCAGCUGCUGUCAUCCCUGAGGGCAUUGCCUCUACCUGGGGGCACUGGUGGGCUAAGCAAUGAGCUACCAUUGGUGAAGAUGCUUGAUUAGGUCAAGGACAAGCUAGCUGAACUCUUACCAGUGUGCAUGGGCUGGCAUGGUCGCUUGGAAUCUGGAGGAGUCCCAACCACACAGCUAGGUCUUGUUAUUCACUAAGUUUUCCUCACCAGACUUCUGUUGAGUGAGCAGUGAUAAGGCUGGUCUAGAAGUGAAAGACAGGAAAGAUUUCAUAGUUUUGUGAUACUUGUAUCUCAAAGCCCUGACAUUUAAAAUAAUAGGUGAAUCCAACCCAACUCAAUUCCUGACUAGAUAGUAGAGGUAAGACUUACGUACCAGCCACCUGAAAGAGGAAAGGGCAAGGCUUUUCUGGGGGUAAAUAUCUAAUUCUGCCUCUCCUGUUCUCGUAUUUAUAACUUCUGCCAUGCAAUUAAAAAGUCACCAGGCGGGCAAAGAAUUAGGAAACAAGAUAUACAAUCAAAAUAAUAUGUCAAAUGAAGCAGACUCACAAAUGACCUAGAUGUUAGAAUUAUCAGGUACGGACACUGAAAUGACUUUUACAAGUAUAUUUAAAACAAAGAGCAAGAGAUUUACAAAAUGAAUGAAAGAAAAUGGUGGAUUGAUUCAGAUAAAUAGAAAUCCCAAAAAAGAAACAAAUGGAAACUGUAAAACUGAGAUAUACAAUGUCUGAAAUGAAGAAUUCAUUUGCUGGGCUUAACAGUGGACUGAGAAAAGCAGGAAAAGGACUUAGUGAAACCAAAGACAGGUCAAUGGAAAUCACCCAAACUAAUGAAUACAGAGAAAAAAGUAUAAAAUCAUAGUAAAAGAAGGGAGAGAGGAAAAGACAGAUUCAGAGACAGAAACAGAGAAUAAUAAGGAAGAAGAAAUAUUUGAAAAGAAAAUAGCUGAUAAUUUCUCAAAAUUGGUAAAACUCAACACCCAGAUAUGAAAAGGCUUAGUAGAACUUUAAGUAGCAUAAAAACAAAUAAGUUUACACCUAAAACACUGAAUAGUCAAACAUCUGCAAUCAAAAGUUAAAAAGAAAAUAUCAAAAACAGCCAGAAACACACACACACACGUGCGCGCGCGCACACACACACACACACACACACACACACCCCAGGCUCAGAUGGCUCUAUUGGCGAAUACUACAAAACAGUGAAAGGAAAAAUCAUACCAAUUCUGUGAAAAGUCUUCCAGAAAAUAGAAAAGGAAGGCACACCUCCCAACUUAUAAGGCCAGCAUUACCCUGAUACAAAACCAAUGAAAUAUAAGAAAACCACAUACAAUAACCCCCAUAAACACAGAUGGAACAUUCUUAGCAAAAUUUUAGCAACAACAUAUAGAAAUGAUAAUAUAACAUGACCAUGUGGGAUUUAUCCCAGGAUUGCAGGGUUGGCAUAGCAUUUAAAAAGUCAAUCAACACAAU